GUGGGGAAUCUUCCACAAUGGACGAAAGUCUGAUGGAGCAACGCCGCGUGAGUGAAGAAGGGUUUCGGCUCGUAAAGCUCUGUUGUCGGGGACGAAUGUGCAGUAUUUGAAUAAAGUAGUGCAAUGACGGUACCUGACGAGGAAGCCACGGCUAACUACGUGCCAGCAGCCGCGGUAAUACGUAGGUGGCAGGCGUUGUCCGGAAUUCUUGGGCGUAAGUGGAGCGCAGGCGGGAAGGUAGGUCGGUGUUAAAAGUGCGGGGCUCAACCGCGUGAUGGGAUCGAAACUAUGUUUCUUGAGUGCAGGAGAGGAAAGUGGAAUUCCGAGUGUAGCGGUGAAAUGCGUAGAUAUUAGGAGGAACACCAGUGGCGAAGGCGACUUUCUGGACUGUAACUGACGCUGAGGAUCGAAAGCCAGGGGAGCGAACGGGAUUAGAAACCCUUGUAGUCC
rnacentral:rRNA from 1 species